rnacentral:rRNA from 1 species
GUGCCAGCAGCCGCGGUAAUACGUAGGGCGCAAGCGUUAUCCGGAAUUAUUGGGCGUAAAGAGCUCGUAGGCGGUUUGUCGCGUCUGCCGUGAAAGUCCGGGGCUUAACUCCGGAUCUGCGGUGGGUACGGGCAGACUAGAGUGCAGUAGGGGAGACUGGAAUUCCUGGUGUAGCGGUGAAAUGCGCAGAUAUCAGGAGGAACACCGAUGGCGAAGGCAGGUCUCUGGGCUGUAACUGACGCUGAAGAGCGAAAGCAUGGGGAGCGAACAGGAUUAGAUACCCUGGUAGUCCAUGCCGUAAACGUUGGGCACUAGGUGUGGGGGACAUUCCACGUUUUCCGCGCCGUAGCUAACGCAUUAAGUGCCCCGCCUGGGGAGUACGGCCGCAAGGCUAAAACUCAAAGGAAUUGACGGGGGCCCGCACAGGCGGCGGAGCAUGCGGAUUAAUUCGAUGCAACGCGAAGAACCUUACCAAGGCUUGACAUGAACCGGAAUGAUGCAGAGAUGUGUCAGCCACUUGUGGCCGGUUUACAGGUGGUGCAUGGUUGUCGUCAGCUCGUGUCGUGAGAUGUUGGGUUAAGUCCCGCAACGAGCGCAGCCCUCGUUCCAUGUUGCCAGCGGGUUAUGCCGGGGACUCAUGGGAGACUGCCGGGGUCAACUCGGAGGAAGGUGGGGACGACGUCAAAUCAUCAUGCCCCUUAUGUCUUGGGCUUCACGCAUGCUACAAUGGCCGGUACAAAGGGUUGCGAUACUGUGAGGUGGAGCUAAUCCCAAAAAGCCGGUCUCAGUUCGGAUUGAGGUCUGCAACUCGACCUCAUGAAGUUGGAGUCGCUAGUAAUCGCAGAUCAGCAACGCUGCGGUGAAUACGUUCCCGGGCCUUGUACACACCGCCCGUG